rnacentral:lncRNA from 7 species
GUAGUCCCCCGACGCAGAGAAGAGGAAGGGCAUGUGGCGUAGUUAGAGGGAUCUGAACCCUAGCGGUCGUCCGCCCGUCCAGAUCUGUGACCCGCCCUUCUCGACGCUUCGGUGACAUGAGUGCCUGGAAAUCUAGGGAGGCGAAAAGGUGACAUGAGUGCUUGCAAAAUGAUCGCACAGGAAUACUUGCUAAGUUGUCAUUUCUUUUCUCUGGUACAAUAAAUCUGGUCAUUGGAUUUAAUUUGUUUGCUUGGUUGUAGGUCAGAGUUCAGUCAUGUCAUGCUUGAUUUGAGUUCUGUGCCAGAUCAAAGCAAGUAGUAGUACGUGAGAAGUUAACCAUGAACAGACACCCUUUUUCUCUUUGUGUAUCACAGGUUGGUCUGAGACUAAUCUUCUUCGAUGAGUACCUUGAUGUGUAUACAUGCCAUUUCUUUGAUCAGUAUGUGAAUGAGGAUGCUAUGUUUCUGUCUCAGAAUUCAAACUUGUGAGAACUUAAAUAGCAAAGACAAGAAAAUUCUAGGCAUACUUUGCUUUAAGCCGUUUGAAAAGCUCUCCAUAAUUUUGGUUCCCAUUUCAUCUGAAAACAAACCUCGACAAUGUCUUGUAUUUUUGGUGACCUUUUCAUUCCUUGCUAAACAAAUACCUUGCUGAUUGUUUUGUUAUUGCAUCUGUAUCAAUUCUCACUGGCAAAAUACAUUUUGGUUCCUUAUCGAGUGUUGAUUUUACUGUUCCUUGAUAUUGCAUAGAUAUUGUUAUCUAUGUUGAUGUUACAACGAACUAUCUCAUUCCAGAUUUUGAAACUUGCUGAGAGGGAAAAACAAAUUUAUGG